UACUAUUGAGAUUGUGAAUUCAAACACAUACGAGAAUGAAACGUUAGCUUUUUGUAUAAAACCGAGCUUUCUAGCUCAUUAAAUGAUGGUUCUAGAGAAUUAUAGUGAGAGAUUUGUGAGAGAGAAAGCUUAUUCUUGUACUUUGUAGUCUCAGUUUCGAGUUCUUGUAAAUUCUUCAUUGAAUCAAUCAAUAAACUAGUUCUUGUGGUUUCACUGGUGGAUGUAAGCUUUGCAAAAGAUUGAACCACGUAAUCUUGUAUGUUCUCUGUGAUUUAGCUUAUGAUUUGAUUUCAUUUUGAUUGAGUGAUUGAGCUAGUUUAGUGAGUAUUGAAUUAUUAGUUUCAUCUUCAAGCAUUUGGUGCAAAUUGUGUUGAUCUUGGCAAAGAUCUUAGGUAGAGUAUUGAUUUUGUUAAGCUCAAGAACAGAUCAAUCUCUACAUGUACCAAAUAAGCAUUUAACCUAAAUAAAAAAAAAAAACAUUAUAAAGUGAUUAAAAUCCUAAUUUUUCCUACAUCACAGAUGGUUUAAGUCAAUAAGAUUUAUUGAACUCAUAGAAAUACAAAACUAGUGUUCAGUUUCUGGACACAUCGCAAUUGAAGAAGAGUUUGACUUUCGUUUAUAAAAAUGUGUGUCCAUUUUAAAAGAGUAGAAUGUUCCUUAACAACGACGUUAAAAAUUUACCUGAUUAUGCUUUGUCAAAACUACAAUUCAAUCCCGAAACAUAUGGUAAUAAUGAGAGUUUGACUUCAAAUUUCUUCAAUAGAAAUCUACAGAAUUGCUCCCUUAACCAUGUCUUGUGACAAGUAGGAAAAUAUCUUAUUCUAUAUUUAUAGUUAUAGAUAUUCAAUAAAUAUCUGGAUCCAAACAUGGGAGCUAGGAAAUUUACGUUAGGAAUUGCUCAAAUAUCUUAUUUCUAUUUUAUAGUUAUAGGGGUAGGGAUAGAUAUUUAUCAAAAUAUGAGAAUAAAUGUCUCAGGAUGAGUUACUGUUGAUUUAUGAGUUAUAUUCUAAAUAAAUCUAAAUUAUACGAUAAGUAUAUCAAUUCAAAUUUUCACUAAACCUCAUAUUGUGAUAUCAAUAAAUAGUGACAUUUCAAACCAAAAAAAAAAAAAAAAGUAAAAAUGAUUAAAUAUGGCAAUAUUUGUCUCUCUAUCUUAAAGUGAGAUAGGGAAUGUUUGGGGGAAAAAAAUGUCAUUCUAUUAAGUAUUAGCUAGAAUAAUUGUUAUGUCACCAAAAAAAAAAAAAAUUUGUAAUGCUUGAUGAAAAUAGAACAAAAAUAUCUACUCCGCUAAAUCAUUUUUAUACUCCGUCGCCGUCAGAGUCACAGCCCUUAUUAACACAUGGAUAUUUGAAAAAAUAUAAUUAAAGCAAUUUCAAAAAAUAAUUCAAAUCAUUUUUAGCUUCUUAUCGUGUAAUAUUUUGGGCUGGAUUAUUUAAUUUGGAGUUAAAAGCACUUGAAAUAGUGUGUGAAAAAAGCUGAAAAUCUUAUUAUUAAUGGUUGUUGGUUAAAGAGAGCACGAUAAUAGAUUCACCUUGAAAUCUUUUAACAACAUUUAUUAAGUAAAGAAAAUAAAGUGCCGUUAUAAAACACCUUGGCUCAACAUUAUUGACUUGUUUGUUUAAACAUAAGAUUACACAUUUUUCAAGAUUGGUAUAGUACAAUCAGAACACCAGUCACUCGGUCAGCACAUAUAAUUGGUGGGUUAAUUUGAGCUAUUUUAAAUUGAUUAAAAUAAAAUUAUUUUUAUACAAAAAAGAGAAUCCAAUGUAUUAAGCAGAGGAAACUAGACAAUGUACAGUACACACACGGGAUGGGGCUGCCCAAGGAAUCCUAAGCGGACGAAGGUUUCUAUAACGUUAAGAAAAAUAUGUUCGAGACCCCUUAAUCUAUUAUUAAAUAUCUAAUUUCCCAUAAAGGUGACAAAUUAUCAAUAUAGUCCCCAAACAAACAUAAAACAUACAAGGAAUAAGCAGGAAUUAUGAAUUUUAAAACCAAUCACCAUCCGUGAUUUUGAAAAGAAACUAGAAGAACGUAAUAUGUUUAUUUCAGCUAAUGUUAAUUAUUAUUAAAUCUCAAGGAUAAUUUCUUUUUUAAGGAUAAGAUAAUUCACUCUCUUUUUUAUUAUUACAAUAUAAUUGUACUCAUAUUACAAUCAGAAGUCUCUGAGACCUGCAUUCCCAGAAAUUUUAUAAAACGACUAAUGUAUUAAAGUUUUUUAAAAUUUUAUUCAAAAACCAUCAAAUGGUGGAUUUACAGAUAAAAAUGUCAUUUCAGUAUUUUUUUUUGAGUCGUUGGAUGAUUGAAGGAUGUCAUUUUUGAAUUUCCAAAGGGUUGAAAACCUUAAGACAGGUGAUAACUAGAUUUAUAUCAGAGAUAUGAUUAAAGAUGAGUUUGGAUUAGAAAUUAGAAUUCGUGUGAUGCAGUGCACGGCACUAUAGUGGAACUUCGUUUACUUUAGGAUUGACUGUACACUAAUUGGCCACGAAGGACGAGCUCAUGUAGAACCGACGCAUGAAAUUGCAAACUCUAAAAAAUGGGAUCCGUGCCUUUUUGAUUUGGAAGGACCCAACCCGAUUCCCUCAGACCGUGUUGACUUGAGAAGAAAAUUUCAUCAAGCUUAGUUUAUUAAUUAUGAGAACAUUUUGUAUGGGUCAAUUUGUUCAUUUCUUAAGUGUAAUUUUUUUCUAAAAUUUAUUUGUCACUUAGAUCUUUAGAGAAAUAUAUUUAUAAAUAAUAAAGGCCAUUUUUAUAGAGUGAACAUUUUCAAAAUUUCAGAAUGAGGUUUUGGUGAGUGCAACCUAGUGUAAUAGUGUUAGUUUAGAUACCAAAACUAAUUUUAGCCUCCACUUUUUUUUUUUUUUCUCUCCCAUUUAGCUUCAUUAAGUUGAUAAGUUCAAGACAGAUAUUCUCACACUCUUGACUUUAUCUCGAUGAGAAGAUCGUGACACUUGAUUCAAAUGGGGGAAAUCUUGUGAGGACUUUUGGGGUUAGUACAAUAGAUUUGUAUGUGAGGUGCUUAUGGAUGCUAUGCUUUGUAAGUGUUAUUGAUUCAUUGUAAACUCAAAUUAUUUUCAUAGUGAAUUGUUUUAUUUACAGAGGGACAAAAUUGUAUGUCAAGGGUUUUACUGUAGAUUAUGAGGAUCAAAAGUUUUUUUUUUUUUUUUUUUAUAAAAAAUGUGCAUCUUAUGAAUGUUCAUUUAUUUGUGAGUUUACUUUUGUUGCCAUAAAUUAAAUUUAUAUAAUUUGUGUAAUUGGCAGUGGAAAUUGGGAGUAAAUAUAUAUAUUUUGGAAGUGCUUUUGUUAAGACGAAGGUAUUGGAAAUUGUUGUUUUGGAUACAUUUGGAGUACUAAUAUUUUUUAGUGUGAUAAUUGCUUCUUAGUUGCAUUUGCUUCGUAGUUGUGAUAAUUGCUUCUUAGUUGCAUUUGCUUCGUAGUUGUAUUUGAAUGCAUCAUAUCCAUUCUAGAGAGUUUAUUAUUUCUGAAAAUUUUCAUUUCGUAAAUUAUAGUGAUAUAAUAAAGUAUUGAGGUAAAUUAUAGGGACAUAAAGAGGAUUUAGUCAUGGCAAAAGUAUAGAGGAUAUAUAUCUAAGAUCAUCAAUAACUUUAAAUUAAUGGAGCAAUUCACUGAUUCAAAACAACAUUAUAUGUGUUUAUAAAUUCUUUUUAUAUGAUUUAAGUCAUAGCUGUUUUCAAAUGCACACACACACACAUUGAGCUUAGCUUUUAAGAUAUGUAUGCAUUACUUUCUUUUAUUUUGUAUAAAUAACAUACUAUACAUGUCAAACAACGCAAUAUCAAUCUCUCGCAUACAUAAAUUUGAUAAUUAUACUUUUAAAGAUAAUUCGAUCCAUUUUAUUUAAAAAAAUAAAUAAAGAGUAACAAUAUUUGAGCACUAAUUGCUAUGCGUCACUUGUUUAUUGAAAGAUGAAUUUAGUAACUUGUUAAAAUUAUUUAUUACUCUAUUUUUUUUUCAUUCGUAAUUGAAUACUACACCAGUUGAGACUUAAAUUAGAUUAUAACUAUUGCGAUUCCAACUGUAUCAAGAGACUUGAACAGAGUAUAAAAAAUCCAAAGGUAUUUCAUAUAUGUUUUAGUAUUUGGAUGUUCAUAUUUUUUUUUUAAUGCUUAAUGAAGUUUCUAUAUAAAAUAUGAUAUUUGGACAAAUGGCAUAAUGUUGAAAAAAUAACCUUUACAAUGACAUAAUGUUGAUUGUUAAUAAAUAAAUGAAAAACAAAACAAAAUCAUUUUGGUGGUGAUUUGUCACUGUUUUAUUCAAGUAUCAUUCCUUUUCUAAAAAUAGCUUAUUUAUGGUUAUUGAUUUUUAUUUUAUUUUAUUUAUUACCUUUGUUUUCCAACAAGAUUUAAGCAAGGACAAAUUAAAGGUGAUGAUGAAAAUUCCGACCAAUUUGCUUCUAUUGCUUAAAAUUUUUUAACUUCGUGAGCUUCUUCUUUUAGUAUUUCAAUAACAAUCUAAUUAAGAUCCAUGCUAUUAAAGUGACAAUUAAUGGACAAGCUCCUAUAACCAUCUUUUGUAUGUUCCACGCAUCUUUUGCAACUACUUCUAAACAUCGCAUUAGCAUGAUUUUGAACUUCAAUUUUGUAAUACAACCAGCAAUUUCUAUACAUUAAGUUAUCUUCGAAAAAAUGGCAAAUGUAAGUCAUGAGUGGGUAGACCUUCCACCAUGUGGUAUAUAUCCUUAUGAGGGAAUGAAUACCUUAUAUUUUGCUAUGUCUUUUUAAUAGUCAUUUUCUAAUGAAAUUUAUCUCUAACAUUUUAUAUUUAUUAAAAACUUCACCGGUGGUGGAGAUGCAAGAUGUAUUUCUUUUCAUUCAGAUGGUUAUGAAUAUGAUAAUGAACAAUAGAUCAAUACCCAUUGUCUUAUAUACAAUGACAAUGACAAAUUAGAAAUCAUCGAUAAACACGUAAUAUUGAUUAUGAUUAA
rnacentral:lncRNA from 1 species